rnacentral:lncRNA from 1 species
UUAAGGUUAGCCAUUCGCGCCGUAAUGGUUAGCCAUAACACAUAUAAACUUAUUCAUUUCGAUUCUGAAAAGAAACUAUAUCACUGCAUUCCAGCAAAGGUUCUGAAAACUGAACAGCUUAGUGACCAUAAAAUAGCAGAUUUUUCAAGGAGGCCAACUCAAUAUGGCUGUGUUUUUCUUCCCUUUUUCGGUUUGACGGCGUGUUAUCAUCAUCUGAACUGAUAUCUUCAGUAGCCUCAAGAUGAAAGUCCAAUUCCUC